rnacentral:tRNA from 1 species
GUCCCCGUGGCCGAACAGAGAGGCGCCCGCCUUCUAAGCGGGUCGAUGCAGGUGCGACUCCUGCCGGGGAUGCCC